rnacentral:rRNA from 1 species
UACGUAGGGGGGCAAGCGUUGUCCGGAGUUACUGGGCGUAAAGCGCACGCAGGCGGUCUCUUAAGUUUUGGAGUGACAGUUGGUGGCUUAACUGCCAAAGUGCUUCGAAAACUGAGAGACUUGAGGGCUUCAGAGGGACACGGAAUUCCGGGUGGAGUGGUGAAAUGCGUAGAGAUCCGGAGGAACACCAAAGGCGAAGGCAGUGUCCUGGGGAGUACCUGACGCUCAGGUGCGAAAGCCAGGGGAGCGAACGGG